UUGAAAAGAGAGAGUAUAUAUCAAAUAUACUUGUCAUGCCUUUGUUUUUGCUAGCCUAUAGCUAGCUAAGUUUUCAAUCUUCUCAUCACUGUUAAUUCUUUGUGUAUAUAUAUAUAUACACUCAAUCCUCAACUUUGAAGAGCAUUUAUAUACACACACACAUAGCUGACAGAACGGUUUGUGUAGGAAAGUGUGAUAUAUUAUCUAUAGAUUUGUGCACCUUCAGCAGUUGAAGCUGCCAGCAUGAUCUGAGCUUACCUUCUAAUGGCAAGAAUAGAUCAUAUGGCAGCUUCACCUCUUGACUGGAAGCAUAUAUACAAACCCUAAUUUCUUACCUUUCAGAUUUCAUUUCAUUCUUUAUCUUAGAACCCUAGAAAAAAGGUUUGUUCCAUUCCUUCUAGAUCCAUAAAGCUUUUUCUUCCAUACUUAUAUAUAUGCAUGCUAUCUGAAUAAUUGCAGUACUAAUUCAGAUUAUACAUUUUUCUUAUGAUGUUCAGAAUUCAUUUGAAUAUGUUGCAAGAUUUUUGCAGAAAUUGAGAAAGAGAAGGAAGCUGUGAAAUAUUAUGUUCUGGAAUCUGAAAUCAAGUGACAGUAACUCGGUGUGUACUUCUUACCUUGGAUUUGGGGAUACUGGUCCUUUUUUUCUCAUAUAUCUUCAUAUAAUAUGCAGAAGUACUGUUUCAUUUGAAAUAACAAUCUUAUCUUCUGAGAUCUAUAUAUAUAUUUUUACAUUUGUUUCAUAUGGAUUGGAUUGGUAUGAUUCCAAACUUCAAGAUCUAGAAAAAGUAGUUAUGCACAGAUAUAUAGACAUUGGAAUAACUAAUUGUUCCCUCUUCUUCCCACACCUCACACAUUUUCAAUAUCCAUCAAUGAUACAUAUAGAUCCUUGUCUCUUUGAUAUGCUUGUAUUGUGUUGCUUUUUUGUUCAAUUGGUUGAAUUAUUAUAGUGUUAUGGAAAUCAUUAUAGAAGCAUGGCAUGUUACAUAUGUGUAGUAGAUAUACACAGAUCAUGCACAUAUAUGACCAUGGGCACACCUGAAUAUGGAGUUUGUAUCUUAGGUUAUACCUCCUCCGUCCUUAAUAAUUCAUUUAUACAUAUUCACCUUAUUUGUUACUUGUUUUUUUUCUUUCUUUCUAAGAAGCGGAACUAGCCCACCGAAAUUGAUACCAGUUAGAAUCGAACCUGAGAACUUGAGAGAUAUUAUUAGGUAAAUAAAUACUUAAUACGGUCCCCUUCAAAAAAAAAAAAAAAUACUUCAUACAGUUAAAAAUUUGAAUAAAAAAGUUCUACAUAAAAGGAUAAGCUAUAUUUUUUUUUUGAAUUGAUGGAGUAUAUAGUUUCAUUAGACCUUUUUCAAUUACAUGCCUUGCUCAAACUUUGUGGAUGCAUGUAGAGGUGAUUUGGUUGGGAAAAUUAUAAAAGGAUGAAUUUCAUUCUCUCACUUUAAUAUAUUGGUGCUUCCAAAAGAAGACUACCUUUUAAACUACAUUAAUUGUUUAUUAAGCAUUUGAGUCUAAACUUGUUGAACUGAGUGUUAGACUUAGACCGUAGCAGCAAAAAAGUACAAGCUUGGGACAACUGUUGUUGGCAGAGGAGUAUAGUUGUAUCAACACUUGGCAAACUACCUACUAGCUAGCUGCGGCCCCUUCAACGGUAAUGCAUGAGUUUAUCAGUAUAGCUAUGAGAUGUAAUGUAACAACUUUAAUGUUUAUUUUAGGAUAUAUUUUUGUCUUCUAACAGUUACUACUUUUUUCUCUUCUUCUUCUGGAUUUGAAUUCAUCAUAUGAUAACUUCAAUUUUAUUCUUGUUUAAAUUUUACAGUGACAAUAUUUAAUGAAAAUCAACUAAAUAUGGAGUGUUGAGAGGACCUUCUAUUGGAAGUAGGGUUUUUUUUACUUGGGAAGAAGAUUAGGCCACAAAACUUAUGAAUUUAGUUUCUAUAUUUCAUGUGGAAGGUCAAGGAAUGGAGGCGCCGGAUACCGGUAUAGGUUUCUCGGUGAAAUCGGCCUAUGUUUUCCAUGAAGCUCAAAUGUGGUAUGUGGUGUUUAGGUUGGUGGGUUUGGUUAUGUCUCUCUUAUUCUGAAUGCAUUAUUUUCUUGCAUCCAUGGAUGUGGGAAGAAUGUUCCAAGGAGGUGAGGUUGGCAUUCUAUACUAGUUUAUUUGAGGUAUUAGGAAUGAAUUAAUCUUGUCUUAAUUAGAAACCAACUAUUUUGGAGGUAUUGGUCUUAUUGAACAUACCUAUUGGAUAUGGUUUUUGGUGUAGUGUCUUUUUUUUUAAUGGGUUGUGGAUUCACUUGGUUGCUCCCUCUAGAUGAUAGUUGUUUGCCUCAUGGGAACAAUGUUUACAUUUGACUUGUAACAUGGGUUGGGUAUCCCAUGAACUCUUUCCCUAUUGAACUCAUUAUUUUGUUGUUGAAAAACAAAUUCCACUUUGUUAACUUCAAUUUGAAAAUGGUUGUAUGACAUAAAAACUAUAAAUUUCUCCUA